UGUAGAAAGAGAAGUUGUGCCAUAUGCCUGCGACAUCUGCUCCGUUGGGUGGACUGUAUCCUGGUCUUAAUGACUGAACCAUGUUAAUGAAGUGUGGGUUCUCAAUCAUACAGAAAGGAG